rnacentral:sRNA from 1 species
AGAUACAAAAAUGCAGGAUCAGGCUACAAGGGAGACCUCUUCUUUCAGAUAGAACCUGCUGGCUCAGUGAAGGGUGAAGCAGGAACAAGCUGGAGAGAUCAUAUGCAAUGCUUCUUUCUUAGUACCCUGGUACUGAGGGCCUCUGGAGGAGGGGUGUGUGGCGAGGUGGGUAGCCUAAAGAAGAUGUUAUUGGAAAAGUAGCCUCAGGGAUGCAGCGGGAAAUGAGACAGUUAUGAAGAGAAAGACUGUCGGGCAGCUCUGUGAACUGCUGAGGCUAGAAAAGACAUUUGUGGUUUUACGACCUCUUGCUUUAAGUGCUCAGGAGCCUUAAAGGAAAUGAGUGACUGGUGAAGCCCAUCCAGGGUAAGGGAUGCACAAGGAGACAUCAGCGUGGGUAGAAGGUCAAGAGGAAAAUUGCCCUUCACAAAGGAAGGGGCAGAUCAAUUGUGAAAACUGAGGGCUGCUUGACCAUCAACCAAGUGGGCCACAGCAUGGGGAGCAAAGGCUCCAACAGGAACAGUUCUGAGUAGUGAAGACUAAGGGGAGGGACAAAGGCCCCUGAGUGACACCUGUACUUUGGGUUGGGUCCUAGGUUCCAGAUUUACAGCUUCUACAAGGCUGACAACUUCCUAAGUGGUUCGUGCACUAAAAGCAUCCUUAGUUUAAGUUUUCAACCUUUUGUCCUUGAUUCCUGAAGCAGCUUGAACAGGUCCAGAAUUACAAAGGAAGAAGGCAACUUCUUUUGCUUAAAACAAAUCCCUUUCCACACACCCUACUGGAAUUUAUGUUAAUGAGUCACAGUGGGAAAGUCACCAAAUAACCCCACCAUAGGAGGCCAGGUUGCUAAGGAAACCAACCACCUGCUCAGAGGGCUCAAGGCCCCUGUCCCUGCCCCUAAAGGUUUCAGUGGUCACCAAUGGCCAAUCAACAUAGGCCUUUGCUGUUCAUUUGUGUCCUUUAAAAUAUUCUUUACAAUAAACUGGCAAACAUAUUUCCUGGCUUCUGUAGCCACUUUGGAAAACCAAUGGAACCAAAUGGGGUAGAUUGUGGAAACUCCAGUGCAUAGCCAAAAGAUCAGAAGCACGGAUAAAAUAGCCCAGCCCUCAUGAUUGGCAUCAAAUGUUGGGGCUCAUUGCUCAGCCUUGGGAUCUGAUGCUAUUCCCCGGUAGACAGUGUCAUGUCCAGUUGAAUUAUGGGUAGUUGAGCUUAGAUCACUACAGACCUGACCAUUUCUCCUGUUGGCAGAGGAGUCUGCCUCCCCAGUAUGGUCAUGGAAGUAUUCUGUUGACAGCUGACUGAGAGUAGAAAGAAGACAACACUGUGCUCCCCCAACCUAUGAUUUUAGACCCUGACCCACGGGAGCUGAGCUGGCACUUACUAGACCUUGAUGUUCUGUUCUAGAGGAUUUCAUAGGGAAUCAACAGCAGACAAGUUCACUAUAUAUUCAUAAUGGAUCAAAACAAAAAUACAGCUAUUUAGUUAUUAUGUCUGAACUAAGAAUGAAUAUUGUCCAACCCACGAAAUCCCCCGCAGCCUGCCUGCUACCUGCUUGCACUUUCCUUGCCUAGCUUGCAUUCUCUGUUGGGAGGAUAAGAUUUAGCCAUAGAAUUACCCUAGUUUCUAGACAGUAAUCCAGAGCAAAGCCUCACAUCCUUGGGAUCUUUCCAAGGUCAAAUCCCCAGAGUACCUUCCUGUAACCCUUUCCCCAGGAUGCCCUUCUAGAGCAUGAAGUCUCAAGAUGCUUACAGGACAGCAAUGAGCCCAAUUCAGUCACCUGCGGGUGUCAUCCUCAAGGUGGUCUCUGAUUGGACGGCACUGAUGAAGUAGCAGGGUCUAAUGCUGCCCUGGCAUUAGAGUGAUAAAGGAGACCAUAGCAGUGGAGUUUUGGAGGAGAAGAAACACUUCUUGCUAAGGUGGUUAAGUGUCAGGCAUUCCAGUCAGUGAUAGAGGGACACCGGCUCACAAUGGGAAAGCAGAAGCCAGACAAUGAGCCCUCCAAGGAAAAUGGGACAGCAUCCUGGAUGUGUACAUCUUCAGGGAAGGCCUCACCCCCCCAACACACACUUUAGUCCCAGAUCUGCAGAGACCAGCUCUCAUUCCCACUUCAGGGGUGGCCCGAGAAGCUCUAGCAAGCGGCCAAGAGGACUCCUCACAGUUCUGCCCAUGGGCACAUUACUGGAGACAGAAGAGGAAGCAGAACAAAAGCAAGUAGUACGUAGUCCUCGGCUGACAGUGGG